CCCCUAGAUGUUCUGGGCCGCACGCGCGCUACACUGAACAGUUCAACAAGUCUUAACCUUGGCCGAUAGGUCUGGGUAAUCUUUGAACGCUGUUCGUGAUUGGGAUAGACCUUUGCUAUUAUGGGUCUUCAACGAGGAAUUCCUAGUAAACGCAAGUCAUCAGCUUGCAUUGAUUACGUCCCUGCCCUUUGUACACACCGCCCGUCGCACCUACCGAUUGAAUGGUCCGGUGAAAUCUCGGGACGGCGGCUUGGUCGCUUGCGUCCGACUGCUGAAACUUGAUUAAACCAUAUCAUUUAGAGGAAGGUGAAGUCGUANCA
rnacentral:rRNA from 1 species